AUGCAUCUCUGACAGACCUGUAGCACUUAAUAUCUGCUGCUAAGGUUUCCACUAAAAAUGCAAGAAAAAAAAAAGGUCCUUGCACUUUCUGUCUGGUUGUGGCAGCCACAUUCAAAUGGGGGAAUACAAGA
rnacentral:snoRNA from 1 species